UUGGACCUCAAAUCAGGGGGACUACCCG
rnacentral:rRNA from 1 species